UAAGGGUUUAAGGAGCUCCCUUCAGUCCAAGACGUGACAGCAAUAACCAACCUAUCGGCUCCUGCUUCGUUGGAUCAGAAACACACCACACCACUGUUUUCAGCGCACUUAAAACUGUAUGGCUUAGUUGAUGAGUUCUUGAACCAACGAGUCAGCAGCUGAGUGUCGGCCUUCAAACUGCCUCGGACUGGACUGAAGAAGAGCUCCUUAAUUCCAUAAU
rnacentral:pre_miRNA from 1 species